rnacentral:tRNA from 1 species
GGCUCUAUGGCCUAAUGGAUAAGGCGUCGGCCUCCGGAGCCGAAGGUUGUGGGUUCGAGUCCCACUAGAGUCG